CCUACGGGAGGCAGCAGUGGGGAAUAUUGCACAAUGGGGGAAACCCUGAUGCAGCGACGCCGCGUGAGUGAAGAAGUAUUUCGGUACGUAAAGCUCUAUCAGCAGGGAAGAAAAUGACGGUACCUGACUCAGAAGCCCCGGCUAACUACGUGCCAGCAGCCGCGGUAAUACGUAGGGGGCAAGCGUUAUCCGGAUUUACUGGGUGUAAAGGGAGCGUAGACGGCAGCGCAAGUCUGGAGUGAAAUCCCAGGGCUUAACCAUGGAACUGCCUUGGAAACUGGGCAGCUGGAGUGCAGGAGAGGUAAGCGGAAUGCCUAGUGUAGCGGUGAAAUGCGUAGAUAUUAGGAGGAACACCAGUGGCGAAGGCGGCUUACUGGACUGUAACUGACGUUGAGGCUCGAAAGCGUGGGGAGCAAACAGGAUUAGAUACCCGAGUAGUC
rnacentral:rRNA from 1 species